rnacentral:rRNA from 1 species
AGCGAACGCUGGCGGCAGGCCUAACACAUGCAAGUCGAACGGACCCUUCGGGGUUAGUGGCGGACGGGUGAGUAACACGUGGGAACGUGCCUUUUGGUUCGGAAUAGCUCCUGGAAACGGGUGGUAAUGCCGAAUGUGCCCUUUGGGGGAAAGAUUUAUCGCCAUUAGAGCGGCCCGCGUCUGAUUAGCUAGUUGGUGAGGUAAAGGCUCACCAAGGCGACGAUCAGUAGCUGGUCUGAGAGGAUGACCAGCCACAUUGGGACUGAGACACGGCCCAAACCCCUACGGGAGGCAGCAGUGGGGAAUCUUGCGCAAUGGGCGAAAGCCUGACGCAGCCAUGCCGCGUGAAUGAUGAAGGUCUUAGGAUUGUAAAAUUCUUUCACCGGGGACGAUAAUGACGGUACCCGGAGAAGAAGCCCCGGCUAACUUCGUGCCAGCCGCCGCUGUAAAAC